rnacentral:piRNA from 1 species
UGUGAUGUCUUGGGUUAAUUUGCAG